UGAACGCUGGCGGCGUGCCUAACACAUGCAAGUCGACGAAGCACUGGAAGCGGAGAUCGUCAAAGUUCCUUGACUUAGUGGCGGACGGGUGAGUAAUGUGUGAGGCAACCUGCCUUUCAGAGGGGGAACAACAGUUGGAAACGACUGCUAAUACCGCAUAAUGUAUUGAUGGGGCAUCCUGUUGAUACCAAAGGAGCAAUCCGCUGAAAGAUGGGCUCACAUCUGAUUAGCUAGUUGGUAGGGUAACGGCCUACCAAGGCUGCGAUCAGUAGCCGGACUGAGAGGUUGAACGGCCACAUUGGGACUGAGAUACGGCCCAGACUCCUACGGGAGGCAGCAGGUGGGGAAUAUUGGGCAAUGGGCGAAAGCCUCGACCCAGCAACGCCGCGUAGAAGGAAGAAGGUCUUCGGAUUAGUAAACUUCUUUAUGAGGGACGAAGGACGUGACGGUACCUCAUGAAUAAGCCACGGCUAACUACGUGCCAGCCGCAGC
rnacentral:rRNA from 1 species